GUCACUAUUUGAAAGUGUAAUGUCAGUGGG
rnacentral:piRNA from 1 species